rnacentral:lncRNA from 1 species
AUGUCUCUUGUUCUGGGAUAUGUCUACACGGCUCAGAACGUCCCCUUUUUUUCUAGGUGUGUCUGGGCUGAUACAGGAUCGCUCUCUAGGGUCUCCAUUGUGCCAACCCUGGCCUGGGAGGUCUCCUUUCCCAAGGGCGUCUACCCGGACCUGGGAUAUCUCCGCAGUUCCCGGGGUGUGUCUAAACGUCGGCUGUCUGCACCUACCUCUUCGGGUUGUCUCCUCAUGAUCCAGGUGUGUUUUCUUAGAGACAUUUCCUUAAUUCUCAUGGUGUAUCGACUCAAAGCUCGUGUGUCUCCCUGUCCCCCUGGUUUUCUGAUCGGAUCAGGAAUAUCGCCGUAGUGUUUGAGUACGUCUAAACGNNNNNNNNNNNNNNNNNNNNCUCUGGGGGCAGGGGCCCAGGUGG